ensembl:misc_RNA Metazoa_SRP Metazoan signal recognition particle RNA
GCCAGGCAUGGUGGCUCAUGCCUGUAAUCCCAGCACUAUGGGAGGCUGAGGUGGGUGGAUCACCUGAGGUCAGGAGUUCAAGACCAGCCUGACCAACAUGGUGAAACCUUAUCUCUA